AAUGGAGAAGGUUUUCGAUGUUGCUAGGGUUAGAGAAGACCAGAAGACCGCUUUCGCAAUGUUUAUGCUGAAGUCUGAAGCGAGUUACUAGUGGCAAGCAAACAAGGUCUGUGGAGGUGAAGGUGUGAUUACUUAGGAGAGAUUCAAAGAGAUGUUUUUUGAGAUGUAUUUCCCGACCAGCUCGCAGAACCAAAUGGAG
rnacentral:lncRNA from 1 species